rnacentral:rRNA from 1 species
UACGGGAGGCAGCAGUGGGGAAUAUUGCACAAUGGGCGAAAGCCUGAUGCAGCUAUGCCGCGUGUAUGAAGAAGGCCUUAGGGUUGUAAAGUACUUUCAUCGGGGAGGAAAAAACAAAACUAAUAAUUUUAUUUCUUGACGUUACCCGAAAAAGAAGCACCGGCUAACUCCGUGCCAGCAGCCGCGGUAAUACGGAGGGUGCUAGCGUUAAUCAGAAUUACUGGGCGUAAAGAGCACGUAGGUGGUUUUUUAAGUCAGAUGUGAAAUCCCUGGGCUUAACCUGGAACUGCAUUUUGAAACUGGCAGGCUUGAGUCUUGUAGAGGGGGUAGAAUUCCAGGUGUAGCGGUGAAAUGCGUAGAGAUCUGGAGGAAUACCGGUGGCGAAGGCGGCCCCUGGACAAAGACUGACGCUCAGGGUGCGAAAGCGUGGGGAGCAAACG